rnacentral:lncRNA from 1 species
UCUUUAGCAUGACAGAUGUAAAACAAAUGUUUAGUUUUAAUUGUAUAUGCCCGAGAGACCGAGUUAGCUAUGAAAGGUGCCUUUGUUGGGCCUUAGGUAUAGGCCUUGAGGCUUCCCAUCAAAACUAACCAAGUACUCGAACAUAUAGUGGUUGUUUCAUUGUUGCAGAAGUAUUACAACUGUUAUCCUUUAAUCGCUCGAGCCCGAAGAGGAGAACGAACCCAGAUAGGUGCCUUUGUAGGGCCUUAGGUAUAGGCCUUGAGGCUUCCCAUCAGAGUUAAUUCUAUACUCAAGCGUUCUAUGGCAAUCAUAAUAUAACAGAAGUAAAACUGAAAAAUAGGCUUAUUACUUGCUCCCCAAGUAACUUCGGACUUCUUGUUAUCAAGGACUGUCGUGGAUGGGUUAAGUCCACAUAAAG